rnacentral:rRNA from 1 species
CCUACGGGUGGCUGCAGUGAGGAAUAUUGGUCAAUGGUCGGGAGACUGAACCAGCCAAGCCGCGUGAGGGAGGAAGGUACAGAGUAUCGUAAACCUCUUUUGUCAGGGAACAAAGACUGGGACGCGUCCCCGGAUGAGUGUACCUGAAGAAAAAGCAUCGGCUAACUCCGUGCCAGCAGCCGCGGUAAUACGGAGGAUGCGAGCGUUAUCCGGAUGUAUUGGGUUAAAAGGGUGCGCAGGCGGUCUGUUAAGUCAGCGGCCCAAGCCCGGGGCUCAACCCCGGCCCGCCGUUGAAACUGGCAGUCUCGAGUUGGAGAGAAGUAUGCGGAAUGCGCGGUGUAGCGGUGAAAUGCAUAGAUAUCGCGCAGAACUCCGAUUGCGACGGCAGCAUGCCGGCUCCACACUGACGCUGAGGCACGACAGCGUGGGUAUCGCACAGGAUUAGAUACCCGGGUAGUC